AGAGUUUGACCCUGGCUCAGGAUGAACGCUAGCUACAGGCUUAACACAUGCAAGUCGAGGGGAAACGAUAUUGGAAGCUUGCUUCCGAUAGGCGUCGACCGGCGCACGGGUGAGUAACGCGUAUCCAACCUGCCCACCACUUGGGGAUAACCUUGCGAAAGUAAGACUAAUACCCAAUGAUAUCUCUAGAAGACAUCUGAAAGAGAUUAAAGAUUUAUCGGUGAUGGAUGGGGAUGCGUCUGAUUAGCUUGUUGGCGGGGUAACGGCCCACCAAGGCAACGAUCAGUAGCCGGACUGAGAGGUUGAACGGCCACAUUGGGACUGAGACACGGCCCAGACUCCUACGGGAGGCAGCAGUGGGGAAUAUUGCACAAUGGGGGAAACCCUGAUGCAGCGACGCCGCGUGGAGGAAGAAGGUCUUCGGAUUGUAAACUCCUGUUGUUGAGGAAGAUAAUGACGGUACUCAACAAGGAAGUGACGGCUAACUGCGUGCCAGCAGCCGCGGUAAAACGUAGGUCACAAGCGUUGUCCGGAAUUACUGGGUGUAAAGGGAGCGCAGGCGGGCGAUCAAGUUGGAAGUGAAAUCCAUGGGCUCAACCCAUGAACUGCUUUCAAAACUGAUUGUCUUGAGUAGUGCAGAGGUAGGCGGAAUUCCCGGUGUAGCGGUGGAAUGCGUAGAUAUCGGGAGGAACACCAGUGGCGAAGGCGGCCUACUGGGCACCAACUGACGCUGAGGCUCGAAAGUGUGGGUAGCAAACAGGAUUAGAUACCCUGGUAGUCCACACCGUAAACGAUGAUUACUAGGUGUUGGAGGAUUGACCCCUUCAGUGCCGCAGUUAACACAAUAAGUAAUCCACCUGGGGAGUACGACCGCAAGGUUGAAACUCAAAGGAAUUGACGGGGGCCCGCACAAGCAGUGGAGUAUGUGGUUUAAUUCGACGCAACGCGAAGAACCUUACCAAGUCUUGACAUCCUGCGACGGACAUAGAAAUAUGUUUUUCCUUCGGGACGCAGAGACAGGUGGUGCAUGGUUGUCGUCAGCUCGUGUCGUGAGAUGUUGGGUUAAGUCCCGCAACGAGCGCAACCCUUAUGGUCAGUUACUACGCAAGAGGACUCUGGCCAGACUGCCGUUGACAAAACGGAGGAAGGUGGGGAUGACGUCAAAUCAUCAUGCCCUUUAUGACUUGGGCUACACACGUACUACAAUGGCGUUAAACAAAGAGAAGCAAGACCGCGAGGUGGAGCAAAACUCAGAAACAACGUCCCAGUUCGGACUGCAGGCUGCAACUCGCCUGCACGAAGUCGGAAUUGCUAGUAAUCGCAGAUCAGCAUGCUGCGGUGAAUACGUUCCCUGGCCUUGUACACACCGCCCGUCACACCAUGAGAGCCGGGGGGACCCGAAGUCGGUAGUCUAACCGCAAGGAGGACGCCGCCGAAGGUAAAACUGGUGAUUGGGGUGAAGUCGUAACAAGGUA
rnacentral:rRNA from 1 species